GCCUCCGUGGAUCAAUGUAGAUCACCUCGAGAAUGUUCGAGAGGAACAUUGACGAAGAUUAAGGAGGAGAUGUGGGUUCGAGUCCCACCGGAGGCA